AAUAGUGAUUAUACCAACACUAAUACACAUCAGAUCUCACAAAAACACUGUAGCUAAGUAUGUGCUAGAUGAGAAUAGUACUAAGUUGAGCGACCACUUGAAAAGUCAUCGUGUUGCACUUG
rnacentral:rRNA from 1 species